AGUCAGCGCUUGCGGUAUCGCGUACGCAUUCUACUCUGACGUCAUCACAGUAAUAACUUGCUCUUACGAGUGGCUAGUUUCGUACGUGUGAGGAAUACAUCUGAAUCUACUUUUUCUUGGGGGAUAACUUAGCUAAACUUUCGCUCAUACCGCAUACUACCUGCUGGUUAAAGCAUGAGAUCUUCGGUCCUUGCGCGUUUGAAUGACCCGAUGUCGGAUUAGCUAGUUUGCGUGGUAAAGGCCCACCAAGGCGACGAUCCGUAGCUGGUCUGCGAUGAUGAUGAGCCACAAUGGAACUGAGACACGGUACAGACUGAUACGGGAGGCAGCAGUGGGGACUAUUGGACCAUGGGCGCAAGCAUGAUCCAGCCAUACCGCGUGGGUCAAGAAGGACUUCGGGUUGUACAGCCCUUUUGUUGGGAAAGAAAAGCAGCAGGUUCACACCCCGCUGUUCUAACGGCACCCAAAGAAUAAGCACGGGCUAGCUUCGUG
rnacentral:rRNA from 1 species